UAAGACACUUUUCAGAUCUCUGAUUCUAAAUCUUAUUGCUAAACUGAAAAAGAUUAAAUCUUUGCUUUUCUUUCCACUGGACCAAGAGUGCUGGACAAUUUCUGAGUAAAGAGGAAAAAUAUGUUUUUCACUUAAAGGUGCUUAUAAUUUGAUAUAAGUCCCAAUAAAUGUGACAUUACCAAUUAAUAUGCUUUAUUCCUUAGAUAUUUCUAAAUGGGAGCUGUAGACAAAUGUUAUUAAACCUUUUGUUUCACAGUCUGUCUAUAUUAUUCAUGUAAACGGAAAUUUUAUCUGCUUAGCGAAAACUUAGGAGACUGUACCCUGGAAAAUUUUCACAGGUGUAAUGAAAAUUAUGGAAUGACUAAAGACUGGGUUUAAUCAGAUUGUGACAGAAUACUUGCCAGACAGUAUUUAAUUUCUCCUUAGCUCAUUAAUUAUACAGCUUACUACAUUGAGAGAAAUUGCUAUAUUUGAUAAUAUAAAAUUGAAUUUCAUUUGACAAUCAUGAUCAAGUGGAGAACAUCAAGUUUGCACGCCUGUUCCCUGGUGUUGACAUUCAGGUAUUGUCAGUUGCCUAAGUGCUUUAAAUUAUAUGGUGCAGCGGCUGCCAAAAUACUUGAAAGGAGGAUAAAGAGAGAGAGAUUUAGUGAUUCCAAUUUGGCAGUAAUUUCAUGGGAAUGAGGAUAGCCUGUUACCAAGUCCCAAUAGUGAAAAUCCAAAGGAUUUCCAGUGUAAUCUUUAUGUUUUAAACAAUGCUUUGUUGUUGAAUGAAGAUGCCAUGUGCUCCGUGUGAUUAUCUUUGAGCUUGUGCAUUGGAUAAUCCUUUAGCAUAAUAAAUCUGAGAUAAAUUAGCUUUUCUUCUCAGCUCUUUCCUAGGAAAAAAUCCCUAGAAACGAGUGGAAUGAUUUACCAAAAGAUGAAUGAAAUGCACUUUGACCCAAUUUUGCGACGACAGUGCUAGAGUAGUGUCUAAUGUCAUUUUUUCGGUCCAGUGUACUUUGUGUCAGGGAUGAGAAUUGCUAUGCACAACUUCUAGACUCAGGACACAGAGGGAGAAAAGGUCAAAAUGGGGAGUUUCUCCCUUUGCUUUGCUAGUUCAAAGAUACCUGAGGCUCUAGAAGCAAUAUUUUAAUUAGUUAUUUACCUGUGUUCUCUCUCUGUUUGUACUACCUACACAUUACAUGGCAUUUUCCUUGAGAACAAAGACUAUCUGGCUUAAUUUUUAUAACACAUGGCAGAAAGCCAGGGGGAUUACUAGGUUCUUAUGGCUGAACUGAACAGGCUGGUAUCUUUCAGGGUGGUAAGAUCAACAGGAAAAAAUGAGAUCUAGCAAUAUGGGUUUAAAAAAUUGUCAAUAUUUUUUUCUCAAGGCUCUUAGGUCAGAAGCAGGAUUUGGCUUUGGGGCUGACCAUUUUUUUGCCUUGGGAGAGAUUUCUUUGUGAGACCUGUUGGUCAUGCAGGUGUGGAUCAAGUCAGACCAGGUAGCAUGGGCUGGUACUGUUCUAAAUGGUAAUAACUUAUUUAAGCCUCACAACAAUUCUAUGAUAUAGGUACUGAUAGUAUCUUCAUGCUAUGAGUGAGGAAACUGAAGCAUAUGUGAGUGAUGGAUCUGGGUUUCCGAAUUAGGAAGUUAGGCUUCAGAGUGUAUAUUAAUAGCCCGCCUUAAGUAACCCCCUCAUAAAUCUUGGAAUGGCUCCCAACAGUGCCAGUGGAAUCCAAAAACAUCUAUUUUGGACAAGGAUUUUGAAUAUUAUGUUUUGAAAGAUAAAAAGCUCUCCCAGAGUUCCCUGGUGGUGCACUGGGUUAAGGAUCUGGCAUUGCCACUGCAGUAGCUCUAGUCAUUGCUGUGGCAGAGGUUCAAUCCCUGGCCCAGGAACUUUUGCAUGCUGGAGGUGUGCCUUCACCCCCGACCCCCCCUCCAAAAAAAAUCCCUAUCCCUUGGAGGAGGCUAUAUCUCUUCAGAAACUGUAUGUAUGCAUGUAUCUAUUUACUACAGUAGGUAUAAUAAUGGGUACCCAAAGAUGUCUAUGUCCUAACCUUUGGAGCCUGUGGAUAUCAUAUAUUACAUGGGAAAGAAGAAGUAAGGUUGUGGAAGGAAUUAAGAUUCUAAUCAGCUGAUCCUAAAAUUGGGAGAUUAUCCUGGAUUAUUCAGGUGGCCCUGGUGCAGUCACAAGAUUUCUUAAAAGUGGAAUCAGGAGUCAGAAGAAGAGUCAGGGUUAGAAUCAUGAAAUGUGAGAAAGACUUGACCAGCCAUUGUAGGCUUUGGAUGCAAGGGCCCAAAUGCCUAGGAUUGUGGCAUCUUCUAGGAGCUGAAAAAUACAAGAAAAUUGAUUAUUCCCCUAGAGCCUCCAGAAAGCCAUGCAGCCCUACUACAAUGAGACCUGUGCCAGACUUCUUACCUAUACUACUGUAAGAUAAUAAAUUUGUGGCAGUUUGUUACUGUGGCAAUAGGGAACUUUGUUUUGGCACAUUUGGUUAUGGCCCAGACACACUCACUUAUCUGAGGUGAGUGAGGAGCUGGCAGUUUCUCUGCUGGGCUGGGAGAUCGGGCUUGCAGGCUUUGUCACUGAUAAAAAGCAUAAGGAGGGUCUCUAUGUCCAGGAGCUGAUCCCAGAAUUUUUUUUGUCAUUCAAAAGUUAUUUCUAAGUUUAUUGAGAGUAUAUCAGUGUUGUGCCAUGUUUCUUUAUAAUUUUUUUUUUCUUUUACAGCUGCACAUGUGUCAUAUGGAAGUUCCCAGGCGAGGGAUUGAAUCGGAGCUGCAGCUGCCGGCCUAUACCACAGCCACAGCAAUGCCAUUUCCGAGCUACCUCUGUGACCUACACCACAGCUUGCGGCAACGCCGGAUCCUUAACCCACUGAGUGAUGCCAGGGAUUGAACCCACAACCUCACAGGGACUAUGUCAGGUUCUUAACCCACUGACCCACAAUAAGAACUCCUCUUUAUAAUGUUUUUGAAUGCUCACCAUAUGAACAUAGUUGAGUAUGAAUAAAUAGAAAAGCCUACCAUGAAAAUCAUGCAUUUUCUUCUUGAGGCUCCAAGGACAGAAAACCAUAUUUAACUUUUAUUUUUGCUUAAUCACCUAGGAUUUUUACCUUGUCACUUUGCUCUCUAGUUUCCAUCUUCAGAAGCAUCACUGAUACUAAUUAUUGUAUGUUUUUCCAGAAGUAGUUCAUGUUUAUAUGAGCGUGCUUUUUCUUCUGCACAACAGUAAAAUAUAGACACGUGGCACCUUUGCAUCAAUUUCUAUCUUAAAUUCGUAAAAAUUUUCAUGAUAUAAAAAAUAAGCAAAACAGAACAUUAAUGGAAUUCAUGGGAACUCUGCAUGAUUUUCCACACUUUUUUUUUUAUAGGAAUUCCAUAAAUUGGGAUAUAUUCAGUGGAAAACAAUUAGGAAGGAUUUUUUUUUUUUUUUUGGUCUUUUUGCCAUUUCUUGGGCCUUUCCCUCAGCAUAUGGAGGUUCCCAGGCUACGGGUCUAAUCAGAGCUGUAGCCAUGGCCUUCGCCAGAGCCACAGCAACUUGGGAUCCAAGCCGAGUCUGCGACCUACACCACAGCUCACGGCAACGCUGGAUCCUUAACCCACUGAGCAAGGACAGGGAUCGAACCCGCAACCUCAUGGUUCCUAGUCGGAUUCGUUAACCACUGAGCCACGACGGGAACUCCCCUAGGAAGGAUAUUUGGUUCACUAAAAAAAUGUACUCAAAAUGUUUAUUUAAUGAAUCAAUGAAUACAUUUUAGGUGGCUGGGUAGCCAAGAGAUGCUCCAGAUCUUUUUAUAGGCUGUGAGCUUCUUGCAAAAAUUUCUGGGAAGGAGAACAUAAAUACCCACAUCUGAAUUCUGACUGAAACUUGGCUCUUAGGUUUUAGAGUUUAGGUCUUUGCAAACUGCAUGGGAAUAGCAGAAGGUAAGAGCAAAACCAAGCUGUCAAUUCGAAGUGUAUCUCCAUGAGCUGGAGACUUGAAUAUACUUUUGGCAGAAAGAGUUCUUUUGUUGAGGAAACCACAGGAAUGGGGUAGUUGGUUUUAUAAUUGCAGAGCUUAGCCCAUAAUUAGAAAAGUGUAUGUUUGAAGAGCUGUAGCUCUUAGUAAACUGCUCUGUAUGACAGUGUUGAAAGGUGUUUAUAUUCUAGCCAGAGCUGCAUCUCGUAGACACUGUGCCCUUUAGAGAAUUUUUUUUUCCUACAUAGGAAUUUGUUACUGCAGAUAUGGAAACAAUUAUUUAUUCUUGUGAAAAUACUUUGUGUUCAUUUUCCCCAAGUGAGGUUAAGUGACAGGUGGUGGUCUUGUAGGUGGUCAGCAGCUGAGUUUAGGAAAAGUUAGAGAUGAGGAAGAUGACCUCCUGCCCAGUGUCUUGGACUGGCUUAGAUGAGUGAUGGAUUCUGUGGGACUCUGGCUAUAGCAACAUUGCUUUCAUGUCCAGGGGACAAUAUGCAUCAUAAGAUUGGAGGAAGGACUUUUCACUUCCCUGUGGCUCAGAGCUCAGCAGCUCUCUGGCAUCAGAGGAUUGGAUGCAUCUUUGACACAGACAGCUGGGGAUUUCUUCAGGAAGCUUUUCUUUUUUUUUUCUUUUUCUUUUUUUUGGCUGCAUCCUCAUUAGGUGGAAAUUCCUGGGUCAGGGAUUGAACCUGUGCCAUGGCAGUGACUCAAGCUAUGGCACUGACAAUGCCAAUUCCUUAACCUACUGAGCCACUAGGGAACUCCAAAUAUUCUUUAUCUUUUAUGCAAACUAAAGUGUACUAGAUAUGCUGUUUUGUACCCUUGCAAUUGUUUUAUCUUUUUUUUUUUUUUUUAGGGCCACACUCGUGGCAUAUGGAGGUUCCCAGGCUAGGGGUCUAAUCAGAGCUGGCCUAUGCCAGAGCCACAGGAACACGGGAUCCGAGCCACAUCUGCAACCUAUACCACAGCUCAUGGCAACACUGGAUCCUUAACCCACUGAGCAAGACCAGAGCUUGAACCCACAACCUCAUGGUUCCUAGUCAGAUUCGUUUCUGCUGUGCCACGACGGGAACUCCUAGGUUUGUAGAUAGCUCAGAAGGUAAGGGGCUUCUUCUCCAGAGAUGUUUUCAGGAAGAGGCAGGUUGUAGAAAAAGAUUCCCACUUGGUAGGUAAGUCAGAACAGAUGAUUGCCAGAUCCUUUACACAUGUAAACACUUAAGGUUCCACUAUUCAAUGAUCAAGUAUGCGGUUGGGUAUUUAGAGUGUUCAGUUAUGUUUGUCAGGGACAGAUUAAAAUUUGAACUUCUCUCUUGCCCCUGGGUUGUGGCUGGUACAGGUCAGAAGUGAUGAGAGUUGCUGCUCUUGUGGAACUGAGUCAAGCUCAGAGUGAUCUUGUAGCACCUUCUAGACAGAGUGUGUGGCCAUGGUUAAAUCAAGGUACAGGGCAAACUGGAGAUCUGUAGAGGAGACACUCCACGUGUCUUUUUGUAUGUGUGUGUGUGUAUGUGCGUAUGUGAAUUCUGAGGCCUCUUCAAGUUACAAAUUUGGACCCAACCUUUCAAACUUUUCUCUCACUUCAUCUCUGAGCCACAAUGAUGGCUUCAAAUGACAAGUUCACAUCAUCAAAGAUGUCCUGUAAUACAGCUGGUAUGACAGCACUAAAUCAUUGCUCGCUGAGAAACGAUUUUAUCAGAGAGUAACUCUUGAUGAAUUAUUUAUUAAUUUAAUUAAUUUAUUAAUUCAUCAGUGAUUUAUUUGUCAGAAACAAUUUAAAUGCUUGAAAAAUAACCGCUAAUCUUUGGAGGGAGAGUCGCAUAUAGCUAUCAAUGGUAUGACGUAGAUAAGAGCUAAAUGUGGCAACACAGAGGAAGAAUGACUUUUAGGGAUGGUGAUUGUAUCAUGGUGACAGUAGCGGUUUGCCUGGGUUUUGAAGGAUGUAUAGGAUUUCACUAAGCAAAAAGAGAAACAGGGUCUUCUAUUCAGGGAGGUGAUGUGCUCCGUGGCGUGGCGCUGUGAAAAAGAAUGGCAUGGUGCACGCCUGGGUGAUGUUCACAGCAUCAGCAGUAUGGUGGGGUGUGUCUGUGCUACAAUAGUGUGUCAUUGUGUGAGGAAGUAGAGUGGUGAGAGGGAAGUUGUAUGACCAAGAAGCUGGAAGUUGAGAAAGAGGGGCUCCUACAUAGAAGCUAGGCUGAGAAUAUUUUUUCUUUUAAUGUAUCUUGACCCAUCAUUUGAAAUGAUGGAGCCUGGUUGCUGAGUUUAGGGUUCUCCAGGGUUAAGUAAAGACAGCUUGCAACAGUUAGAUAGAAAAUUGAUUUUAUUUUUGGUCUGGACAGAAGUAAGGAGCCUAACUUGGAGUGUGAGGAAGCUCCUAACAUCUGGAGCAACAAGAAAUUUUGGCAGGUAUAAAAUGAGUGUCAGUCUUUGCAUAGAUGCAAUAAAGAGGGGUUGUUUGUUGUUUUGCAGCCACAUCUAUACACGUGAGAUAGUGGUUGCUGUCUGUGGUGUCAUAGUUGAGUGUAAGUGGAGCUUCCUUCUGAGGCCCCAGAGGCACUCUUUGCUGAGCUUGUCCGCAGUGCUCUGUGAGUCUUAUCCGCAGAGAUCAACCGGAGCUGUGUCUGUGUCUGUGCGUGGCCUAAGCACUUCCUCUACCCAGGGUGCUGAGCAUCUUUGGGGCCAGGGUAGUGCCUGAGGAUUCUCUGUAGGUUUGCCUCCAUGCUGGUUGAAUGAAUUCCAGUCACGAGCCACCCUGGAGAACUUGUGAAUAGUUUGGUCUUGGGUUUCGCUGUUGACCACAUUCAUUCUCCUUGUCCAGGCUGGCAUUGACUGACGCAAAUGUUGCCUCUUUGAGCUGUUAAAAAAAAUUCAUCUGGAGACUAAUAUUUUUGAGCUCCAGAGUUUCAAGGUUCAGACUUUAUUCUGGACGGUUCGCCCCUUCUGCAGACCUUUGUAGGGCCCUCCUGUGCUCUCUGCUUUAAACUCAAGAGCACACCUCGCCAGGCACUUCUCUAGCAGAAGCUCCAGCCUGUGCUCCACAUCCAAUGUUACCUGUUCCUUUGUCCAUCCUCUUAGGGUCUCACUCUCUGAUGUUGGCUAAUUACUAAAUUCAUGCGUGCCAGGGUGCUGGGAUCUGGAAAUUAAGUUCGAGUUUUCAUAGGGACUUGGUGGAAACAGAGAAUUGAUCCCAGAGAGAGAGGGGGAGGGAGAGAGAGAGAAAGAGAGGGAGAGGGAGAGGAAGAGGGAGAGGGAUGGAGCAAGAGCAUGCUGGGACUGGAACUUUUGACCUUUUUUCAUAUCAGGUCACCAUUUGGACAUGGAUUCAGAAUUCCAUUAUCUGCUCAGAAUAACUCAAUCACUCUCUGAAUAUCUUCUUUUUAUAGGCUCUCCAAGGGAGAAAGAGCCAGAUGAUGAGCAAUUCCCUGAAACCAGAUAAAAAUUGAGGAUAGUAAAAUGAUUCCUUUUCCUCCCACCACUGGCUGAGAGUUUAUAUAUAAAAUAUAUGUACACACACAUAUACACACACACACAUACACACACACACACACACACACACACACACACAGCAGGAGACUAAUUGUGAAUGAAAUAAAAGACAUCAAAAGGAUUUUCCUAAUUAGCUUAAAUACUGAUCGUUACCAUCAGAAAAUGAGUCAGCCUAAAAACACAUGUAAUUGCUUUCUUCCUGCGUUGUGGGAAGCCUAGAGAUUGAAAAACUAUAGCAGAGAGAGAACUAGAUUAUGAGAGAAGGAACAGACAGGCCCUGGUGAGACUGUCAUAAUGAAGAUAUGGUUUUGCUGUCAUUCAACCCAGCAUGUGACAUUGGCUUGAGUGGUUGCAAAGCAUUUGAUACCUGGGAGGCUGGGAAACCUCACCACACAGCCAAUGCACGUGUGGCAAGCACUGUAUUAUCACUCCUGUCUAACAAAUUUGAAACCGAGGAAUUGGACAUUGUAAUGAUCAGAAUUAAGUUAACCAGGAGUUCCUGUCGUGGCUCAGCGGUUAACAAACCUGACUAGCAUCCAUGAGGACGAGGGUUCGAUCCAUGGCAUUGGCGCUCAGUGGGUUAAGGAUCCGACAUUGCUUUGAGCUGUGGUGUAGGUCACAGAUGCGGCUUUGAUCUGGUGUUGCUGCAGCUGUGGCAUAGGCCAGUGGCUACAGCUCCGAUGGGACUCCUGGCCUGGGACCCUUCAUAUGCCACAAGUGCGGCCCUAAAAAGCAAAAAAAAUAACUUAAUAAUAAUAAUUAAGUGAAUCAUUGAAGUUUAGGACUGAUUCCAGGCAAAAUUGUGAGAGAGACUUUGGUGCUGUUUCUCUUGCUCUGCUCUUCUUCUUCUCUCCUUGAUGCUGCUUUUGGAUGGUGCAGUUCUCUACCAAAACUUUCCUUUUGGGAAAAGCCCUGUUGUCAAAUAUUUAUACCUCUGUGUAAAUGUUAAUAAUCAUCCUCCCUCUAGCAAGCACAUGACUAUUAAUUCUUAUCCUUGAUUAUGAAAUGAAAAAAAGUUGAAGGGACUCUCCUAAACCCUAAAUUGCUAAAGGAGUUACAGGCAUCAGCAAUUAGCAUGAAUACUAUAGGAGAAGAUGGAAGAUGGCAAAAAAAAAAGUCUGCUUUGGUGGCUCUGAAAGCCCGCUGCAGAUCUGCUCUGUGUAAGGUGAAGUAUCUAAGAACAGGUGAAGUGGCAGAGAACAACUGAGGUUCUUUUGAUGAUGCAAGUGUGAAAGGCUGAUUUACAAAGUUAACCAAAAGAAAUCCUUUCAGGGUGUAUGCAUUAUGAGAACCUAUUGAGAACUAUGUGCUGCUUGGUUUGGGUGAUAGUGUUUAGUAGAAUUUAUUUCUUAGUUCAAUCGAAAUGCGGUAAACAAAGCCAAUUUUUGUGUCAUCACAUAUAUAUUUCUCGGAGUUCCGGUCGUGGCUCAGUGGUUAACGAGUCCUACUGGGAACCAUGAGGUUGCGGGUUCAAUCCCUGGCCUUGCUCAGUGGGUUAGGGAUCCGGCAUUGCCGUGAGCUGUGGUGUAGGUUGCAGACAAGGCUUGGAUCCUGCACUGCUGUGGCUCUGGUGUAGGCCGGCAGCUGCAGCUCUGGUUCAACCCCUUGCCUGGGAACCUCCAUACGCUGCGGGAGCGGCUCAAGAAA
ensembl:lncRNA